rnacentral:rRNA from 1 species
AUUGAACGCUGGCGGCAGGCCUAACACAUGCAAGUCGAACGGUAACAGGAAGAAGCUUGCUUCUUUGCUGACGAGUGGCGGACGGGUGAGUAAUGUCUGGGAAACUGCCUGAUGGAGGGGGAUAACUACUGGAAACGGUAGCUAAUACCGCAUAACGUCGCAAGACCAAAGAGGGGGACCUUCGGGCCUCUUGCCAUCGGAUGUGCCCAGAUGGGAUUAGCUAGUGGGUGGGGUAACGGCUCACCUAGGCGACGAUCCCUAGCUGGUCUGAGAGGAUGACCAGCCACACUGGAACUGAGACACGGUCCAGACUCCUACGGGAGGCAGCAGUGGGGAAUAUUGCACAAUGGGCGCAAGCCUGAUGCAGCCAUGCCGCGUGUAUGAAGAAGGCCUUCGGGUUGUAAAGUACUUUCAGCGGGGAGGAAGGGAGUAAAGUUAAUACCUUUGCUCAUUGACGUUACCCGCAGAAGAAGCACCGGCUAACUCCG